rnacentral:rRNA from 1 species
GAUGAACGCUAGCUACAGGCUUAACACAUGCAAGUCGAGGGGAAACGACAUCGAAAGCUUGCUUUUGAUGGGCGUCGACCGGCGCACGGGUGAGUAACGCGUAUCCAACCUGCCCAUCACUUGGGGAUAACCUUGCGAAAGUAAGACUAAUACCCAAUGAUAUCUCUAGAAGACAUCUGAAAGAGAUUAAAGAUUUAUCGGUGAUGGAUGGGGAUGCGUCUGAUUAGCUUGUUGGCGGGGUAACGGCCCACCAAGGCAACGAUCAGUAGGGGUUCUGAGAGGAAGGUCCCCCACAUUGGAACUGAGACACGGUCCAAACUCCUACGGGAGGCAGCAGUGAGGAAUAUUGGUCAAGGGGCGAGAGCCUGAACCAGCCAAGUAGCGUGCAGGAAGACGGCCCUAUGGGUGGUAAACUGCUUUUAUAAGGGAAUAAAGUGAGAGUCGUGACUCUUUUUGUAUGUACCUUAUGAAUAAGGACCGGCUAAUUCCGUG